rnacentral:rRNA from 1 species
UACGAAGGGGGCUAGCGUUGCUCGGAAUUACUGGGCGUAAAGCGCACGUAGGCGGGUUGUUAAGUCGGGGGUGAAAUCCUGGAGCUCAACUCCAGAACUGCCUUCGAAACUGACGAUCUUGAGUUCGGGAGAGGUGAGUGGAACUGCGAGUGUAGAGGUGAAAUUCGUAGAUAUUCGGAAGAACACCAGUGGCGAAGGCGACUCGCUGGACAAGUAUUGACGCUGAGGUGCGAAAGCGUGGGGAGCAAACAGG